rnacentral:snRNA from 1 species
AGCUCUCGCAGUGGCAGUAUCAUAGCCAAUGAGGUUUAGCUGAGGCGCGAUUAUUUCUAAUUGAAACUUUAAAUUCAGUAGCA